rnacentral:rRNA from 1 species
UAAGGAAUAUUGGUCAAUGGACGCAAGUCUGAACCAGCCAUGCCGCGUGAAGGAUGAAGGCCCUAGAGGUCGUAAACUUCUUUUAUACGGGAAAAAUUCUUGGGUCGUGAACCUGAGUUGAUGGUACUGUAUGAAUAAGCACCGGCUAACUCCGUGCCAGCAGCCGCGGUAAUACGGAGGGUGCAAGCGUUAUCCGGAUUUAUUGGGUUUAAAGGGAGCGUAGGCCGGAGAUUAAGCGUGUUGUGAAAUGUAGAUGCUCAACAUCUGAACUGCAGCGCGAACUGGUUUCCUUGAGUACGCACAAAGUGGGCGGAAUUCGUGGUGUAGCGGUGAAAUGCUUAGAUAUCACGAAGAACUCCGAUUGCGAAGGCAGCUCACUGGAGCGCAACUGACGCUGAAGCUCGAAAGUGCGGGUAUCGAACA